CGCCUGGACACGGCGCCGCGCGGGCCCGCCCUGGCCGCCCGCGCGUUGCGGCUGCGGAGGAGGUCCCGGCUGCUGGCGAGCCCCAGCCCCAUGCCCUGGAGCAGCCGGCGGCGGCGCUCCUUGAUGGGCAGCGCCGGCUCGUCCGCCAUCCACAGCCCGUAGUCGUACCUCGACACGUCUUCGUCCUCCUCCAGCUCGAAAUCAUCCUCGUCAAACCCCGCCUCGUCGAGCUGCUCCUCGUGGUCGCCGACGGCCGUGGCGAAGGAGGCGCGGGCGUCGACGUCGUCGCCGUCGUCCGAGGGGAACUCCGGGACGUCGUUGGCCCGCGGCGCGACGCAGGGGCGAUCGUGGCAAUGGAAGAAGGACUCUUCGUCGCUCGCCGCGGCAGCCGGGACGCCAUUGUCGUUGUUGCCGUGGCUCUCGACGAGGACGGCGGACACCUCGCUGCCGCCGUCGUCCUUGUGGCUCAUUAUUCGAUCGAUCGGUCUCUCUGGGUGGUGGCGAAACGAAUGGCCUGCAAGCACGUUGCUGGGGGAGAGACCCUUGCUGUCCCGUUUGCUAAAUUUGGAGUACGCACGUUAGUUUGUAAUAAGGCUGUCAUGUCAGCCUGUAAUGGUUCUCGCCAUGGCGGUAUGCAUGCGAACAUUGCGAAGUGGGGGCUGAUUAAUUUGGAGGGAAGACUUCUUGGCCAGGCAAAUCAGAUUCAGAGGUCUGCUAGCUCUGCAGAGGAGAAAUAACAACCGUGGUGAAAUUGCUCUGUCAUGCUGUCCCCACCUGCAGCUGGGCCCUGCAAUGUGAAGAAAAAGGAAAAUAAGAAAUCAGAGCUGUCUAAAGUUCUGGAGCCAAGUGGCAAAAUACAAGAUAAUUGGGCAAAAUAUGAUAAAUUUCAUAUGUUCUUUCCGCCCUAUGAAAUACAAGAUUGAGCUUUUUUUUAAAGAUCUGUCUGCAUCUAUAUAAGCUUGGAGUUCUGCCAUUGAAGAUGAACUCAUUUCUUCUUUUCCAAAUGCUCCAAGCAGCAAGGAUUGUGGUCUCCAUGUGGAAUGGCACUUUAAGGUUUUGCUUGAGCUGAUUUACAUUAGCAUGUACAUUGGGCAGAGGGACAUAGUCCGGGCACAAAUAGGUGCAGCAGGCUUUGGCAAAUGGACAGUGGAAGAAUAAAUGAUCUCUUGUCUCAGGUUGCAUUUCUCCACACGGGACACAUUCAUAAGAUGGAAUGAAAAAACUCCUUUUGAGAAGCAUAGCUCUGGUGUUAAGGCCAUAUGAGAAGCAUCCAGUAAAAGAAUUUGUGUUUCAGCUUACAACAUGAUGCCCAGAGCCAUCCAAAUUCCAGUGGUAGGUCCAAAUGGUUGAUUUGAGCCAUGUAAGCUUUAGCAGGGAUGAAAUAGUAUUUGUUCCAAACAUAUGUCCUUGUGUCUUGUUCAUCCGAGUGCUGAAAAUUCCCAAUAAGGUUCCGAAGUUGAGUGAACUGUUCAUAUGCAUUAAUCGAGAGAGGAAGCUGGAACAACGUGUCCAGACUCCAGAGUGUCACCCUGAAGAACUUGCAUUAUUGUGGCAUCCUUGUUAAUAGCAAAUGAGAAAAGAUGGGGCCAAUGUCUUUCCAGAGGUGUGCCAUUCCAAUUAUCGUUCCUUUCAAAAGAUGGUAGAUGCACCACUCUUAACCUUGCAAACAGAGAGUUGCUUGUAUCUAUCAAUUAGCUUGAUGAUACCAUUCCACCAGAAUGAAGCAGAGGCCCUCUCGUAUGGUGGGAGACCUAAAUAAAUAUGAGAAUUCGUUCAUUCAGGUUAAAGAACCACAUUGUUUGUUU